rnacentral:rRNA from 1 species
UACGGAAGGCAGCGGUGGGGAAUAUUGCACAAUGGGCGCAAGCCUGAUGCAGCCAUGCCGCGUGUAUGAAAAAGGCCUUCGGGUUGUAAAGUACUUUCAGUCGUGAGGAAGGUGUUAAGGUUAAUAACCUUAGCAAUUGACGUUAGCGACAGAAGAAGCACCGGCUAACUCCGUGCCAGCAGCCGCGGUAAUACGGAGGGUGCGAGCGUUAAUCGGAAUUACUGGGCGUAAAGGGCACGCAGGCGGUUAAUUAAGUUGGAUGUGAAAUCCCCGGGCUUAACCUGGGAAUGGCAUUCAAGACUGGUUAGCUAGAGUCUUGUAGAGGGGGUAGAAUUCCAUGUGUAGCGGUGAAAUGCGUAGAGAUGUGGAGGAAUACCGGUGGCGAAGGCGGCCCCUGGACAAAGACUGACGCUCAUGUGCGAAAGCGUGGGGAGCGAAACAGGGAUUAGGA